rnacentral:rRNA from 1 species
UAGGGAAUCUUCGGCAAUGGACGAAAGUCUGACCGAGCAACGCCGCGUGAGUGAAGAAGGUUUUCGGAUCGUAAAACUCUGUUGUUAGAGAAGAACAAGGACGUUAGUAACUGAACGUCCCCUGACGGUAUCUAACCAGAAAGCCACGGCUAACUACGUGCCAGCAGCCGCGGUAAUACGUAGGUGGCAAGCGUUGUCCGGCUUUAUUGGGCGUAAAGCGAGCGCAGGCGGUUUCUUAAGUCUGAUGUGAAAGCCCCCGGCUCAACCGGGGAGGGUCAUUGGAAACUUGGAGACUUGAGUGCAGAAGAGGAGAGUGGAAUUCCAUGUGUAGCGGUGAAAUGCGUAGAUAUAUGGAGGAACACCAGUGGCGAAGGCGGCUCUCUGGUCUGUAACUGACGCUGAGGCUCGAAAGCGUGGGGAGCAAACAGG